UACAGGUGUGAGAUACAGGUGUGAGAUACAGGUGUGAGAUACAGGUGUGAGAUACAGGUGUGAGAUACAGGUGUGAGAUACAGGUGUGAUACAGGUGUGAUACAGGUGUGAGAUACAGGUGUGAUACAGGUGAGAGACAGGUGUGAUACAGGUGUGAGACAGGUGUCAGAUACAGGUGUGAUACAGGUGUGAUACAGGUGUGAGACAGGUGUCAGAUACAGGUGUGAUACAGGUGUGAGAUACAGGUGUGAUACAGGUGUGAUACAGGUGUGAGAUACAGAUGAGAUACAGGUGUGAUACAGGUGUGAUACAGGUGUGAUACAGGUGUGAGAUACAGGUGUGUGAUACAGGUGUGAUACAGGUGUGAGAGACACGAUAAGAUACAGGUGAUACACAGGGAACAGCUGACACAGGUAAGUCCCAAAACUCCCCCCAAAAUCCCCCCUGGGACCCCCAAAAUCCCCUUUGGGACCC